CUCCACCUGUGAUGCCCAAAUCAUCCGUGGGUACUGGAGCAGGUGAACACCCAAUUGCAGUCGAUGACAAUGAUCAAGCGGGAGAUGACGGCGAAAGAUAAAUCAGAAGGAUUUAGAGCAACUUUUGAAUUUUAUUGGUGCAGAACAAGGUUGAUAUACAACAGGACGUCCAGCGAAACAAUAUGAUGUUUUGGUUUUUUUUUUUUAGGUUUUUUGUAAUUAAGGAAGUACUGGUACUAUGAGUACAUUGCUUUAGGUGUUUGCUUAUUUUGAAAUAAUGGCAAUUUCAAUAGCGUAUA